rnacentral:rRNA from 1 species
AACUGUUGGUUAUGUGUGCCCAAGCAUUGGGGCAGUCAAAGUAGGCAAAUCCGCGUUGAUAAUGCUGGGAUGUGAUGGGGAGCGAAAUUUAGUAGCGAAGUAGCUGAUUUCACACUGUCAAGAAAAGGCUCUAUCGAGGUUAAAGGUACCCGUACCGCAAACCGACACAGGUGGGUGAGGAGAGUAUCCUAAGGCUAGCGAGAGAACUGUUGUUAAGGAACUCGGCAAAAUGACCCCGUAACUUAGGGAUAAGGGGUGCCACCAUCAGGUGGCCGCAGAGAAUAGGCCCAAGCGACUGUUUACCAAAAACAUAGGUUUCUGCUAAGUCGCAAGACGAUGUAUAGGAGCUGACGCCUGCCCGGUGCUGGAAGGUUAAGGGAAUCUGUUAGAGCAAUCGAAGCAGUGAACUUAAGCCCCAGUAAACGGCGGCCGUAACUAUAACGGUCCUAAGGUAGCGAAAUUCCUUGUCGGGUAAGUUCCGACCCGCACGAAAGGCGUAACGAUUUGGCCAC